UCAGCCUAAGUUUUUCUGACCAUCACGCCUGUUAAUUUUGGCUAAGCUCUUCCAUAUACAGGGAGUUAUCUGCUCCAUCCAGGCAGGUCUGGCAGCAGUUAUUCCAUGGGAAGUCACUAGGUUUCAGCACUACAGACCGCCGUGAUGCUCCGUGCCUCAAUCUUCAGGUGGGCUGGCGGAGCAGAGGAGGUUAUGAACUCACUGAAGAAUAAGGAGUUAUACAUACUAGGAGGUAUUUAAUAGUAUGGGCAAAACUUAACAGGUAAUUCUUUGUUAACAUAAGUACCUGGAAAAACAUACAACUUAUCUAAAAUAAUAUACAUAAAUACAUGCAUACAUAUAUCUGUAUAUAAAUCUUAUGGGUAUGAAUGUAUAUAAUUCAAAGCAGGGAUACUGGAAAUGCACACCCUUGAUCCCCAGGGUUACAGUAUUUCAUGAUUACUCAGUUUAAAUCCUCCCACUACCUAACUACCAGGAUGAAAAUUAUUUUUUGGUCCCUUUCCUCCUGUACAGUGUUAAUUUUUUAAUGUCAAAUGCAAUGCUUUUGACACUCACAAAAAGUAUUAAUUUGUAAAUUAAUUUAUUUAUAGGCUUUUCUAUAGAGUUCAGCACCGUCAGUUCUGAAUGCCCUUCAAAAGUUGCUAGGUGACACUGUCAUACCUCAGUUUGAUGAACAAAUGAGAGCUUGUAAUAUUGGUGCAGUGACUUCAACCAAACAUCCUGCUUUCAUUUUGAUAGAGGCUUUUUUUUUUUUUUCCCCUGCAAAUCACUAUAGGUUUGUUACGAAAUGCGAGCAAGCUCAAAUUAUAUUUUUCACCAGUUAUUAUUUAGUUCAUAAAGAAACUGGUUCAUAAAGGCAAUGCAAAUCUUUCAGUGUUGUCUUCAUGGAAACCAGAGCAAAUUCACAUAUUUGCAUGAGCAACAAUAUUCAUAGACGGAUCCAGAAAAAAAAAUAAAAUCACAGCUUCUAACCUGAAUUGCAUUUAUCAAAGAUGUAGCUAAUUCCUUGUUCUCCUGCCUGCACUGAAAUGGAGUACAGCUACCUGGAGGGUGCGUUGUCUCUGUAAUGCUCCUGCAGGUUCAGGGAGGCUGGUUAAAACCCCACAUGUGCAGUGGAGCUGGAGCCAAGGUCCUGCACACAGAACAGGAAUGUGUGUGUGUACAUACCUGCUUGUGAACCCAGGACAAGAAGUCGGUGCUGACAAUAUGGAUCCUAAUUCAGAACAAGCAUACUUUUUUUCUGGCUUCUUCCCAGAACCAUAAUGUAUUAGUAUUAGAGUUUUAUGGCAUGGAAGGAUGAAAAGAGCAAACACCCUUUUAUUCACAUAUUUGUCGUCCUUCUGUUUUGUUUUUUCUUAAACAUUUCCCUCCCUGUUCUGAACUGUUCUGAAAUAGGAACAUUGCUACACUGACUUGGUGUUCACAAGGGUUUCCACUUACGUGGGAUUUGUGAGAAAUGUGUUUCUAACAAUUUUCCUGCAGGCAGGAACCUAUGGAGCUGGGAAACGCCGCUCAGUGGGGCUCAUCUGCAGCAAAAUUGUGAGUCUGAAAAGGGGCUGUCAAUGGGCUUUCAAGGCUUUGGCCUGGCUCUCUCUGGCAACAUUUUUGUGAUCCAAAUUGGCAUCCAUUGGAGAUGUGUUCCUGUGCAGGGUAAACAAUAGCUUAAAGCAGCUGCUAAUUACCUCAGCUCGGCUCUGUUCCUGCUUUUCAAGUCUAGGUACCUCCUUCAGAAACAAGAAGCAGAAGGAAAACAUCCAAGCAGAAGAAUCAGAAGGCAAAGGAAAUGGAUGGGGAUUGCAAGUGAAAAAUUAAUGAGGAGAGACCUCGUUUCACAAAGCUUACGUAAAGCUGGGCUGCAUCUGUGCGAGGAACAGUGACCCAGAAACGGAAAUCUGUCAAAAUGUAGAGCAAGGUGCAAAACUCGGUAGCCUCUUUCCCUCUGGGAUGCACCUACGCUCACAAACAGGAAACCCUUGUUUAUGGCCCCUGUGGGCUCACCUGUGAAGCUUCUGCUUCAUUUUCCCUCCCCUCUGGCAGGUCCCAGCUCAGGAAGCAGCUGGGAAGGACGUUCGCAGAGAAAGUUGAGGCCGAGUGAGAGUCCACAGAAACUGUGCAAAAAAAUCUCACAUUUGUUUGGGAAUAUCAAACCUUCUUAUGAAUCUAUUUUUCUUCCAUCCAUUCAUCAUAUAAAAAAAAAUAUAUGUUGUAUAUAUAAAAGUAAAAACCCACUUAACUUCUGACCAAGAUGAAACCCUUUGUAACACCACUGCUGCUCAUCUGGCUGCCUGAUGAGAAUUCCCUUUCUGGAGAGCUUGGGAUUGUUCCCAGCAUAGAUAAGCAGGUAAAAAUCUGUGUUUGCAGGUGUAGCGGAAGUCUGCAGAAAAUCAUUCUUGCUGGAGGAAAAAAAAAAAAGGGAAAAAAAUAAAGGAACCUGGAUAAUACCAAAAGGGAUGGGGAAUAUUUCUCAUUAUUUUACAAUUCCAGCCCUCAAUUAUUGGGUAUCUCCUUUUGUAGCCAAUGCUAGAAGAAAAAGACCAUUAGUACCCUGCAUGACAGGGCUGAUAUUCUCACCCCAAAUGCUUGCUACUUAAUACCUGACAAACAGGACUCUUCACAGGUUCCCAGGAAGAGAGAGGAGCAUCUGCAGGAGUGCCAAAUCAGCUCGUUAGUCUGAAUGACACCUCUUGCUUACCUGCCUCUUGCACUGAGUGGAAACCCAGGAGAAUUAUUUAAAAUGAAAACUUUUGUCUUCUAUAUUAAGAACAUCUUAGGUAAUACUGAGCAGCUCACUCUCUGCUAUUAACGGGUCUCCAGGUAUUAACACAGCACUUAUCUCUCCUGCCAGUCUUUGCAGUUCAAAUAAAGGGAUCGAGGUAUCAUCUGCUAUUGCAUCGCAUAAGCUUUUACUCCGACAAGCAUCAUCUGUUAGAUUGUUUCCAAACCAGAAAGGACAGCUGUCAGCCGCCUCCCAGAAUGGAUUCAAAGGCUAUAAUCACGAAAUCUUCUCCAAGAAGUUGUUCAAAGCUGGUGCUUAUUGCUCUUCAAAAGACUGCGAAGACAAUAAACUAGUCAAUUUACUGGGAAAGGUGCAAUCUGAGUAUUUAGUGUCUCGUUAAUAUUGACUGGCAAGACUUAAAGGAAUUGGAAUGCCAUGGAUGUCAGCUGCUAGACUGGCAGGGCAUGAAGCAGUGAUGACAAAUAUUUGUAGUUUCACAAGAGGCUACUUCUACUUUAUUUUCCAAGGUGUUAACUGCUGAAAUUAAUAACGUUUAGAACUUGCACUUUACGAAUCCUUUCAGAUUUCUCUUAAUUGCUGUUUGUUCUCAGAAGGCUGCAAGGAACCCCCGCAUAAUAGCAGGGAUUUCUCCUGAUGAAUCUGAUCUGGGCUCGCUCUGCAUUUGGUGCAAGCAUCUCCUGCCCUCUCCGACUGCCCCACUUCUGCCGGCAUCCCAGCCAAGUGAUGAGUUACAGCAUGCUUAUCCUCAUAUCGCUUCUCCCAGGCUGGCCAAAGGAUCGUUAUUUUCACUUACAGCCUGGGAGAACACCCACAGAGAGACGGCUCCCCACCUUCUGGAAGGUAUUUAGCUUUGUCAGCAUCACUGAGUGGCACCCGCAGCUGAUGAACCCUGAGGUGACAGGUUCAUCUUCCCACGGGAGAGCUGCCCAGGGCCAGACCCCCUGGGGGACCUCGGCUGAUGACCAGCCUCACCCUGGUCAGUUUAGGGUAUUUAUGUAUUUUGCUUUUCUUUAAGAAUGGUGUUGCAGAGGGAGAGGCUAUUAAACCACCUGUGGCAUCAUUAGGUCUACAAAAAUACAUAGUUCCUAAAUUCUGGUUUCUUUCCAUUUUAGCAGCAUGUUUCCCAUUUUGCUACAGGCACCUGAGUCUUUCUGACCCUGGGACCCCUGUGCUGAGGGAGGAGUGUCCCUAGGGGCUGGCUCAGGAAAGCCUGCGUAGCCAGCAAGUGACUUCUUAACCUCAAGAUACUAAUUGAAAUAUGCCCUUGAGUCAUUUCCAAGUCGGGUAACAAAACAAAAAGCCCCAGAAGACCUGGAGAAGGGUGGAUGUUCAGUAAAUAACAAUACCUAUGAGACGGUACUGUUGGUGACAGGAAGAUAGUUUCAGUUGAUAGAGCUUAAAAUCUUAGUGAAAGUUGUUUAAAACCACUUAUGUGCAGUUUCUUUCUCAGAAAUCCAGGUGAACUGUUCACUUUCCUCUUCCCAAAUACCUGAUUAUUUCGGAGAGUUGAACGAUUAGUGACUUAACAAAGGAAGAACUAUAGCCAAGUACAUACAGGACCUUCCUCUGUGCCACUGAAUGCAGCAGAGGCUUUGGCAUUGACCCCAGAGGGUGGUGGGAUGCUGCCUGCAGCACAGAACCCACCCCUCCUUUCACAAGAGAAUUCUACUGCCUCCUCCAACCUGCACUUCAAGUCCGUGCCCUAGCAUCAGCCUUGAACCAUCACGAAGCCUCCAGGCUGAGGAAGUUAUCGCCAGGAUUUUAUAAAUGAUGAUGUCCAUUUCCAGGAGAACUGAAGAUGGAAUGAUUUGAGAGAAAUUCAUCCUUUAAAGUUCGUCACUCUCACUAGGCAUGAUUAAACACUAUAUGAUUUAACAUUAUUUGCUGAUAGAAAAUCAAAGCAUUUGCCCCCAGUAUGCUGACAUUUACAGCAGUGGAGAACAUUUGCACAUUUUAUGCUUAUAACAACAGAUGAGGUAUGAAAUGGAUUCUGAUAAUGAUUUGAACACCAUGGCAGUCUUGUCAUUUAUCACAGCAUAUGAGCUUGCUUUGGAUCCCUACCAUUAUUGUGAUAUAUUUCUAUACAGUAGAAGUAAAGAAAAGCUUUAUUCCAAUGAUGGAUAGUGGAUGAAUUUCAAAAUUCCAGCAAGCAGGUCCUUUUCAAGCAAGCCCCACUGUAGUGCUACUAUAAUUUCUCACAGGGUUGUUUGUUUGUGGUGUUGUUGGAGGGGUUUUUUUGUUUGUUUUUUGUUUUGUUUUUUUUUUAAAUAAAGACUUGGAUGGACAAAUAGCUGAUGUGGAUUGUCUGUAACUCCUUCCUACUUCUUACAUUUCUGUGAAAGUAUGAUCUAUCACAAAUAAACAGUUAUCUGGAGUAAUCUCAAGAAACUGCAAACCGGUCUGAAUUUUAAAUGAAAGCAAGUCAAAUGCA